AUGGCCGAGUGCUCCUUGACAACACUGGGAGGCCAGUAUCGUGGGGGAUGGACCCAAUCCAGCGGCAAGCUCUCCCCACGAAACAUAUCAAUCAGGAUGUCAAAGAGGAACUACAUUCAUAAAAUUCCCCUUCCAUGUCUGUCCAAAUUCAAUUUAGCGAAAGAGUGGAAAAGCUGCGCAUUUACCUCUUAUAACUUUCAUGGAAGGGGUUACAAGCUGGAGACUCAAGUUGGAUGUUAUUUCUUUCAGUCAAUGAUGGGUUCAGAGAGUGUGAUCUCACCAAAUCUAAUGUUGCUUUCUGAUGAAGCGCUUCUGACUAUCAGCGUAGUUCUUGCGUAUUUGGCUGGGGUUGCACCCUCUCGACCUACAGUACCCCGCACCCAAAAUCCCAGCGCCAAUCAACAUCUCACAGCAUCAAUCUCCUCUGAUUCUGGUAGGAAUGGAAAACGUUUGCUUGACAAGAGUACAGCGUCUGACCCCAAUGAUACAUGGAAUGAAGUGAGGGCUAAGCUUUCUGAAGCCUUAGAAGCAAAUGGUCAAGAUGCCAGUUCUGAUAGCAGAGACGAAGGACUAAAAAAUGAUAGGAAAAACUAUCCUUUGAGUAUGCUUGCAAUUCAUGGAGGUCCCAAGUUGCGGCUUCUUCUGAUCACAUUUCAACUUCUUGAAAUGGAGGCAAGAAAUAUUUCCGGAAGUUUUGAACUUCUAGAUGGGAUCAGGUGGUCGGAAGUGUCAGUUAUGUUGAUAGAUAGCUUGAUUGAACCAGCAUUUAUGAAAUGGAUCGAAGAAGAGCAAGCCCUGGAAAAUGGCAAGAUCGAUGAAAAGCUUAUGACGGUGAUUAGUAGAAAAAUAAACGAAGACAAUGGGAUCUUGAAGAGAUUCAACAGAUUAGGGAAAGUUGAGCUCUAUUUGGACCUGCUCUUUUUCGUAAGAUUUGGUUCUGCAAGGUCUGACAGCUAUUUUGAUACUAAAUUUCUGGCUGAAAAUGGAGCAAGGAUUUUGGAGGACCUGGUAAUUUUCUUGGCUGAUGUGAUUGCUAGUAUUUAUCUAGAGAUCAUGUCAGUUGAUGGUGACAUGCCUACUGAGGUUGUUGGCUCCAGCUUAGCUCUAUGUUCUCUGUCGACAAGAGAACUUCAAAAGCGGCGUAAUGAGGUGGCAAUUAACGGGUGGCUGCACCAGUAUUUCGAGUCAGUUGUUUCAAUGUACGAGGACAGGUUCGAGUUAUAUGUUCUAUGCAGAAGAUCAUGCAAGAGCACAACAGAUAAUCAACCUGAUAAAACUAAUUGGUUGACUAAUGCAUUUCGAAAGCCUUCGACAUCUACUCGCCUGGAUUAUGUUUGCAUAAGCCCAUUUUCUCUUCCAGUGAGAAGGACAAAGGAGCUAAGAGCUCUGACCGGAUGGAGGUAUUACUACAGCCUUUUCUUGGAGUUGUCGGAUAUUGCAAUGCCUUUUGCACGGGCAGUCGUGGCUAGAGUCAGUGCUGCGGUGUCCUACUUCUGGGUGUCCAUGAUAGGGAGAUCUUUGGGGCUCAUUUUUUCUGGUAUAAGGCAAUCGCUGGGCUGGAAAUGA
rnacentral:rRNA from 1 species